UACGUAGGGUGCAAGCGUUAAUCGGAAUUACUGGGCGUAAAGCGUGCGCAGGCGGUUCGCUAAGACCGAUGUGAAAUCCCCAGGCUUAACCUGGGAACUGCAUCCGAUACUGAAUGGCUUGAAUCCGGGAGAGGGAUGCAGAAUUCCAGGUGUAGCGGUGAAAUGCGUAGAUAUCUGGAGGAAUACCGGUGGCGAAGGCGGCAUCCUGGACCGGCAUUGACGCUGAGGAGCGAAAGCUAGGGGAGCAAACGGG
rnacentral:rRNA from 1 species